UGAGGAAUAUUGGGCAAUGCCCGCAAGGGUGACCCAGCAACGCCGCGUGGGGGAUGAAUGUCGUAAGAUUGUAAACUCCUGUUAGAGGGGAAGAAUAGUACCGGUUGGACCGGUAUAUGACUGUACCCUCAGAGAAAGCCCCGGCUAACUACGUGCCAGCAGCCGCGGUAAUACGUAGGGGGCAAGCGUUGUCCGGAUUUACUGGGUGUAAAGGGCGCGCAGGCGGGAUAAAAAGUCAGUGGUGAAAUCCUACAGCUUAACUGUAGAACUGCCUUUGAUACUUUUAUUCUUGAGUUCGGGAGAGAGAGACGGAAUUCCAGGUGUAGUGGUGAAAUACGUAGAUAUCUGGAAGAACACCAGUUGCGAAGGCGGUCUCUUGGUCCGACACUGACGCUGAGGCGCGAAAGCGUGGGGAGCAAACA
rnacentral:rRNA from 1 species